GUGACCUCAAAUCAGGUAGGACUACCCGCUGAACUUAAGCAUAUCAAUAAGCGGAGGAAAAGAAACUAACAAGGAUUCCCCUAGUAACUGCGAGUGAAGCGGGAAAAGCUCAAAUUUAAAAUCUGGCAGUCUUUUGGCUGUCCGAGUUGUAAUCUAGAGAAGUGUUAUCCGCGCUGGACCGUGUACAAGUCUCCUGGAAUGGAGCAUCAUAGAGGGUGAGAAUCCCGUCUUUGACAUGGACUACCAGGGCUUUGUGAUGCGCUCUCAAAGAGUCGAGUUGUUUGGGAAUGCAGCUCAAAAUGGGUGGUAAAUUCCAUCUAAAGCUAAAUAUUGGCGAGAGACCGAUAGCGAACAAGUACCGUGAGGGAAAGAUGAAAAGAACUUUGGAAAGAGAGUUAAACAGUACGUGAAAUUGCUGAAAGGGAAACGCUUGAAGUCAGUCGCGUCGUCCAGGGAUCAACCUUGCUUUUGCUUGGUGCACUUUCUGGUUUGACGGGUCAGCAUCAAUUUUGACUAUUGGAAAAAGUCUAAGGGAAUGUGGCAUCCUUGGAUGUGUUAUAGCCCUUGGUCACAUACAAUGGUUGGGAUUGAGG
rnacentral:rRNA from 1 species